rnacentral:rRNA from 1 species
UCUACGGGUGGCAGCAGUGAGGAAUAUUGGUCAAUGGACGCAAGUCUGAACCAGCCAUGCCGCGUGCGGGAAGACGGCUCUAUGAGUUGUAAACUGCUUUUGUACGGGGGUAAACGCCGAUACGCGUAUCUGUCUGAAAGUAUCGUACGAAUAAGGAUCGGCUAACUCCGUGCCAGCAGCCGCGGUAAUACGGAGGAUUCAAGCGUUAUCCGGAUUUAUUGGGUUUAAAGGGUGCGCAGGCGGAGGUGCAAGUCAGCGGUCAAAUUGCGGGGUAAAACCCCGUACUGCCGUUGAAACUGCAUGCCUUGAGUGCGCGAGAAGUAGGCGGAAUGCGUGGUGUAGCGGUGAAAUGCAUAGAUAUCACGCAGAACCCCGAUGGCGAAGGCAGCAUACCGGCGCGUAACUGACGCUGAGGCACGAAAGCGUGGGGAUCGAACAGGAUUAGAUACCCGGGUAGUC